AUGGGCGUUUUGGGGGUGAAGCUCGCGGCGAAACAGGCGCAGAAAGCAACAUUUUGGGUGCGUUGUGAGAGCGUCGCUGCUGCCCCAACACAGAAUGGGCUCAGAAAGCAGCUUUUUGGGACCGGUGUGACGAAAAAACAACAUAAAACGAAGGAAAAGGACCCAAAAAGCAGGGUAUGGGGCCGGCGUGACCGCGCCGCAGGUACUUACUCCGCUCCCUUGGAUAUUUUCUGCCUCUUUUUUAAGGGGUUUUGUGCUCUUUUUGGGGUUAUUUCUGGCCAUUUUGGGGCCAUUUUCGGCCAUUUUGGGGCCAUUUCCAGCCAUUUUGGGGGGGCAUUUCCUGCCACCGUUUGUUUUUCAUUCUCAAAUGGGUAGAAAACAAGCAAAAUUAGGGCUGAAAUGGGGCCGACCCACCCCGGGGUGAACCUAACGCCAUCGCCCCGAAUCCACCCACAUCUCCAAUUUGGGUGAAAAACAGCACAAAUACCUAUUUUUUUUUCCUCCCUUAUCCUAUACGUAGCUUUUUGUUUUUUUUUAUGGGGGAGAUGGUUUUGCUGCCGUGUUUCUCUCUGCCUUUUCGCCUCAGGAGUCCACGCUGCCUCGGUUUUGGGGCAAAUUCCCGCAGUUUUGGUGCUCUCACUGAUCUGUGCCGAAGAUCCCUUUGCUGCCAACACC
rnacentral:lncRNA from 1 species